GACGAACGCUUGCGGCGUGCUUAACACAUGCAAGUCGAACGGAAAGGCCCUGCUUUUGUGGGGUGCUCGAGUGGCGAACGGGUGAGUAACACGUGAGUAACCUGCCCUUGACUUUGGGAUAACUCCAGGAAACUGGGGCUAAUACCGGAUAGGAGCUCCUGCUGCAUGGUGGGGGUUGGAAAGUUUCGGCGGUUGGGGAUGGACUCGCGGCUUAUCAGCUUGUUGGUGGGGUAGUGGCUUACCAAGGCUUUGACGGGUAGCCGGCCUGAGAGGGUGACCGGCCACAUUGGGACUGAGAUACGGCCCAGACUCCUACGGGAGGCAGCAGUGGGGAAUAUUGCACAAUGGGCGGAAGCUUGAUGCAGCAACGCCGCGUGCGGGAUGACGGCCUUCGGGUUGUAAACCGCUUUCGCCUGUGACGAAGCGUGAGUGACGGUAAUGGGUAAAGAAGCACCGGCUAACUACGUGCCAGCAGCCGCGGUGAUACGUAGGGUGCGAGCGUUGUCCGGAUUUAUUGGGCGUAAAGGGCUCGUAGGUGGUUGAUCGCGUCGGAAGUGUAAUCUUGGGGCUUAACCCUGAGCGUGCUUUCGAUACGGGUUGACUUGAGGAAGGUAGGGGAGAAUGGAAUUCCUGGUGGAGCGGUGGAAUGCGCAGAUAUCAGGAGGAACACCAGUGGCGAAGGCGGUUCUCUGGGCCUUUCCUGACGCUGAGGAGCGAAAGCGUGGGGAGCGAACAGGCUUAGAUACCCUGGUAGUCCACGCUGUAAACGGUGGGUACUAGGUGUGGGGUCCAUUCCACGGGUUCCGUGCCGUAGCUAACGCUUUAAGUACCCCGCCUGGGGAGUACGGCCGCAAGGCUAAAACUCAAAGGAAUUGACGGGGCCCCGCACAAGCGGCGGAGCAUGCGGAUUAAUUCGAUGCAACGCGUAGAACCUUACCUGGGUUUGACAUGGAUCGGGAGUGCUCAGAGAUGGGUGUGCCUCUUUUGGGGUCGGUUCACAGGUGGUGCAUGCCUGUCGUCAGCUCGUGUCGUGAGAUGUUGGGUUAAGUCCCGCAACGAGCGCAACCCUUGUUCACUGUUGCCAGCACGUUAUGGUGGGGACUCAGUGGAGACCGCCGGGGUCAACCCGGAGGAAGGUGGGGAUGACGUCAAGUCCUCAUGCCCCUUAUGUCCAGGGCUUCACGCAUGCUACAAUGGCUGGUACAGAGAGUGGCGAGCCUGUGAGGGUGAGCGAAUCUCGGAAAGCCGGUCUCAGUUCGGAUUGGGGUCUGCAACUCGACCUCAUGAAGUCGGAGUCGCUAGUAAUCGCAGAUCAGCAACGCUGCGGUGAAUACGUUCCCGGG
rnacentral:rRNA from 1 species